ensembl:snoRNA
AGGGUUUGUUCAGAGCAGAGUGCCUGAAGAAAUGGCACCUCUGUUUACACCAUACCCAACAGAAAUCUGGGCUCAUUGAUGAGGGGCACAAAAUUUGCCACCUUCCAGUGACUACCCUACAUUU